rnacentral:rRNA from 1 species
UACAGAGGGUGCAAGCGUUAAUCGGAAUUACUGGGCGUAAAGCGCGCGUAGGCGGUUUGUUAAGUUGGAUGUGAAAUCCCCGGGCUCAACCUGGGAAUGGCAUUGGAUACUGGCUCGCUCGAGUGCGGUAGAGGGUGGUGGAAUUCCCGGUGUAGCAGUGAAAUGCGUAGAGAUCGGGAGGAACAUCUGUGGCGAAGGCGGCCACCUGGGCCGGCACUGACACUGAGGCGCGAAAGCGUGGGGAGCAAACAGG